rnacentral:rRNA from 1 species
GAUCAUGGCUCAGGAUGAACGCUAGCUACAGGCUUAACACAUGCAAGUCGAGGGGCAGCAGGAUCUAGCAAUAGACUGAUGGCGACCGGCGCACGGGUGAGUAACACGUAUCCAACCUGCCGAUUAUUCCGGGAUAGCCUUUCGAAAGAAAGAUUAAUACUGGAUAGCAUAACGAGAAGGCAUCUUCUUGUUAUUAAAGAAUUUCGAUAAUCGAUGGGGAUGCGUUCCAUUAGUUUG